CAUCAGCAAAGGACUGAGGGAGGGAAGAACGAGAAUGUGCUCUCCGUGACGAGCUAUGUGUUGCUGUUGAUACCUUGGCUGCUCACGUUGGAACUAAUCAACUUCAAAAUCUUAGUCGUGUCGGCUACCUGUUGAUUUUGAGUCAUUCACGGUUAAACUAAAAAAAAAAAAAAAAAAAAGAAUCUGCAGAAAGCUUUUGGAAAGCCAUCACCAUGGCUGAUUUCAGUAUUGAUCAGGAAAAUCUACCCGGAGUAAAACAAGUGUGCCAGGACUUUGCCGUGCUGGAGGACCACUGUCUGGCCUACACCCUCCAGGAGCAGGAAAUUAAGAGUCACUUGGAUUCCAAUGUCCACAAGAACCGCCUGCUCCAGACGGACCUGGUGGUGGCCAAGCGUAUACAAGAGGAAGAGGACGACCAGGCCACGGCCCUUGCCCAGAAGCAUCAGAGGGUCGUAGAGCAGAGUGAUAGUGACAUUGCCCAGGUGUUUCAGGACAGUCUGGUCAGACAGGCCAAGCAACAGCGGCAACAGGAAGAGAAAGAUGCGACAUUGGCUCGCAAGCUACACAAGCAGAUGAUAAAGGAGGACAAGAAGCAGAGUAAGAGGAAGAAGAAGCAGCAGGAGCCAUCUCAUUUUGAGCCAUACGCCUCCCCACCGCCCUCCGGCCCCCCCAGGGGCUCCAGAAACUGCCCCCCAGAACCCAGCCGGAGCGGAUAUCCACAGAGAACAGGGCGGGGGGGUCAGGGCAGGGACAGAGGUGCGGUGGAAUCCCACCUCUCGCAGUCAGCGUUUUACACGGACGGCGGACGGCUGAGGGGGCCAGGCAAGCCGUCAGAGACGGAGAGGGCGGCGCCCAAAAAAGAGAAACCAGUCAGACCGCCCCCGCCCCGGGACCAAGGCAGGGGUGAAGAGAAGGAGGUGGAGGGGGAAGGGGAGAGACGGGUAGGCACAGGCCAGAGGGAUACAGCCCAUGGUUCGAGCAGGGCCUGUCCGGAAGAGGUGCUAGUGGACUUGCGGGGCAGUGAGGGCCUGAUGUCAGGGUUCGAGGAGUCAAGCCAAAGGGGAGGGGGUACGAAAGAACCCCAGGACCCAUGGGAUCCCCAGGAGGAGGUCCCAAAAGCCGGUUCCCUCCUGGGGGAGGACAGAUGCCUGUCUCAGCCCCCUGGGAAGCCAGACCAGAUGGCAGUAAGCAACAUGUGUGCCGUGACCCAGGGUGUGACUCAGAUGGACCUGCGGGAGGAAGAGCUUCGGGACAUGGAGGUGGCCCGAAGGCUGCAGGAGGAGGAGCUGGAGGCUCGUCAGGCUGACAGACGGGCGGCCCAAGUGGCACAGGACGAGGAAAUCGCUCGACUGCUGAUGGAAGAGGAGAUGAAGGCUUGCAAGUCAUCCAAAAAGUGGGGGAAGAAAAGACGAGAUGGAGAGUGGAGGGCAGGUGCAGAGGUGGCAAUCCCCCAGUCUAGGGAGGACUGCGAGCAGCAGAGGACCCUGUGCCAGAAACCAGCCAGGUACUGUAUCAGAGCCCAGCGCCCUCUGAGCCAGAAACCAGCCAGGUACUGUAUCAGAGCCCUGCGCCCUCAGAGCCAGAAACCAGCCAGGUACUGUAUCAGAGCCCAGCGCCCUCAGAGCCAGAAACCAGCCAGGUACUGUAUCAGAGCCCAGCGCCCUCAGACCCAGAAACCAGCCAGGUGCUGUAUCAGAGCCCAGUGCCCUCAGAGCCAGAAACCAGCCAGGUACUGUAUCAGAGCCUAGCGCCCUCAGAGCCAGUUAAAGAUGGUAUUUCAGGUUGAGGUUAAAUUCAGGCCCAGCAGUAUUUUGAUGGACACUGAUGUGAGCCAUCGCUUGCUGUCUUUCUCUCUGACUCUCAGACCGCCACCACCAAUGCACAACUAUCAAAAUGUUCAGUCCAGCUCCCCCCAACCCCCCGCCCGACCAGAACCAACAUACAGAGGCUCCCAUGACAAACAGUGACCAUGGAAACAUGCUGCCAUUUUUUUGUUUUGUUUUACAACCAUGUCUUCUUAAUUAUGUUUCAUUUUAAUUGUGUAGUCUAUGGACUGUUUUAUCCCUGACUGAACUUUGAAAUUGAAAUUUGGAAUGGAAUUUAUGAAAUUUCCCAUCAUGCUUUGAAUAUUAAGUAUUAAGUAUUAUUCCCAGUUCAGAGGGAAGAGGAGGACAGAGGACUUUGAAACCCUAUUUUUGUGUGAGUAUGCUACACUUAUGAAAGAAUGAUGAGGAUAUGACCUGGCAUGACGACACAGGGAUGUAUGGCCUCGCUCCUUAUCACUGUAGUUGAAAGUGAGUUUGUCCUAAGAGUGUAAACUCUGUCUGACACUUAGCAUGGCCAAGGCCAGGCUUCGUAAAGGUGUGGAACCUUCAUGACUCAUCUGUACCAUCACACCAGAAUGAAACUGCCACUUUCAGGUAUAUCACGCAUUCCUCGCAUUUAUCCAGGGGAUUGUUGUCAUUUCCUUUAGAAACGGCAUCUGGACUUGGUCUGAAACUUCUGUUUUUUCCUCUCAACAUGUGUACUUUAUGCAGUUGAAAGUGGUGGAAGGAACUCCUCUUAGAUUACAAUAGCUGCAUUCUGUAGGUCUUCAGGAUGACAAUUUCAGAACAUGUCAGCAUAUGGGCAUUUUGGUGCUUUCCAGUAGUUCUCAGUUUCCCCCUGGGUGGCCUUGAUGCCAUGGCUUAAGAGAGAACAAGCAUUACGGUAUUUAUUUGUUGUUUUUCUAAUGUGUUUUUUAAAAUAAAUAUUUUCUUUGAACAAAUAACUGAUUUAAAUUGACAGAAAACUACCUUGGUUGAUAUACUGUACCCAUAGAAAUAACCUGCUCAGUUGCUUACAACCAUAAACCACAACCACAACUUUGAAGUACAAAAAAAACCUAAAUCUAUCUACAUUUACUCUGGCUAUUGUGCCAUAUGUGACAUUCUGUGUUAUGCAGGUGCCAUGCGAUCAAAUAUAUUUAUGUCAAGUUUUAUAACUCUGACUCUCCAUCGAACAAGGGAGAAUUUGGGGUUGGACCUCUUUACCAGUCAGGAGAGGAAUACCGGCUGCUUAACCUGUUCAUGUGCCAGCAUGAACUGCUCAGGUAGGAGCGUUGGCACAGGGAUGUCAGACUCCUUCAGGGAGGUAGUGUCUGCUGGUUAUUGGUGUGUUUCAAUGUGAUUGGUUGAAGUCAUUGAUUGGCUAAAUGAGUCUAAAUUCUUCCCAAGGUCUUAAUUGGUGGCUGACUGAAGGGAAGUAACAAAAUCCUUGAGAUACUCCAGGGCUCAAGUUAUAUUUUAUUUAGCAUAUUGAGGAAAUCUCCUCAAGCUUUCCAUGUGACAGUUGAGCCCGUGUACCCUAUUUCCUUAUCAGAUUAUUGUAUAUGGCAAUUACUAGGUUAAUUGUGUAAUAAUACAUUCACAAUUCCUUCACAAGUCCUUUCCUUUCUGUGUUUGUGCAUUUAUGCACAUUGUACAGUAUUGAGUACUAGGUUAACAAUGCGGAACAUGGAAAAUCACCCAGUUUCUGCCCAUCACUUUGUUGUACAUCUGUUCUCUAAAUACAAAUUUAUUUAAUAUUUGUGUCAGACCUAGAAUGAUCAGUUUCUUGUAUCUUCUUCUGGGUUGUGGCUGUUGAGAAAAGGUAUUACUGGAACGACAAGGGAGAAACUAGUAGUUCAUUAUUUAACUAUGUUUAUUUUUAUAUCUUUUUUUUUUUUUUUUUUUUUAUAAACAGCCAUUUCCAUUAGUGCUUCUCCUUGUGAAAUGGCAUUUUCAUGUAUUUGUAUUUUCCUAAGUAUGAGACAUUCAUGUGUGUGUGAGUUUGCACUUUUGUACAAGAAUGUUUUCCAUGAACAUAAUAUAUGAUGCAAUUGGCCUUUUUUACCAAAUAAAAGUCUAUUUUAGUUUUAUAUUCCAAA